AUUGAACGCUGGCGGCAGGCUUAACACAUGCAAGUCGAACGGUAACAUAAAGAAGCUUGCUUCUUUGAUGACGAGUGGCGGACGGGUGAGUAAUGCUUGGGAAUCUAGCUUAUGGAGGGGGAUAACUACGGGAAACUGUAGCUAAUACCGCGUAAUAUCGAAAGAUUAAAGUGUGGGACCUUCGGGCCACACGCCAUAGGAUGAACCCAAGUGGGAUUAGGUAGUUGGUGAGGUAAAGGCUCACCAAGCCGACGAUCUCUAGCUGGUCUGAGAGGAUGACCAGCCACACUGGGACUGAGACACGGCCCAGACUCCUACGGGAGGCAGCAGUGGGGAAUAUUGCGCAAUGGGGGCAACCCUGACGCAGCCAUGCCGCGUGAAUGAAGAAGGCCUUCGGGUUGUAAAGUUCUUUCGGUAGCGAGGAAGGCAUUUAGUUUAAUAGACUAAGUAUGACGUAACUACA
rnacentral:rRNA from 1 species